CAAAAUAGGGCUGGGGAAGUGACUCAGUGCCUGAGUACCCCUGAAUUCAAUCCCUGGUACCACUCCCCCGUAAAAAAACAAACAUACUUCAAGGGCUGAGAAUGAGUCAAUGAGAGAGCACUUGUCUAGCAUGUGUGAGGCCUUGGGUUUCGUUCCUGGCACCACAAAAAAAGAAAAAAAAUCAAAACUUGAGUUAUUCUGUGAUGAUUCCUAAAUUUAUGUCCCUAAUUGUGAACUCCACAUGUGUAAUGCUAAUUAUAUACUAAUGCCAUCCAUAGUUUCCUCAAGCACCUCAAACUCAGGACAUCCAAAACUAGUGUCCACAAAAACUGCUGUUCUUGCAGCCUUUUUUGGUUAAUGGCAUUGCUGGCAGUACAGCUUCUCAAACUAUGGACCUCGGAUAGAUGCUUCUACCCCUCACCCCCAUAUUCAAUUAUUCACUAAUGUCUAUUGAUUCUAUCCUGAAAUGUCUCUCUUAGCCAUCCUUUCUUGGUCUUUCCACUGCUCCAAUUGUAGCUAUAGUAAUUUCUUACCUGGAACUUUGCAUUUACCUCCAGAUUGGUCUCUCUGCCUCUUAUCUCUUCUUUUUCCAAUUCUUCAUUCUAAAAUACUUGACAUACCAACACAGAGGUCUGAUUGUGUCAUUCUACUUUCUUUUAAACUUUGAAGUAGAAACAAAAUAACAGGAAGCUGUCCAUAAUAUUACCUUCAGGAUGAAGAUGAGCUUUUUUUGCACUCGACCAAUGAGCCACAUCCCCAGCCCUAUUUUGUAUUUUAUUUAGAGGAAGGGUCCCACUGAGUUGCUUAGUGUCUUACUUUUGCUGAGGCUGGCUUUGAACUCACAGUCCUCCUGCCUCAGCCUCACAAGCCACUGGGAUGACAGGUAUUUGCCCUCUUGCCUGGC
rnacentral:lncRNA from 1 species